rnacentral:rRNA from 1 species
UGCUAUAUGCUUCGCUUAACGACUAAGCCAUGCAAGCCUCAGAACAAGCAUUUGUCCUGCAAAUCUGCGGAAGGCUCAUUAUAACAGUUGUAGUUUGCCCAGUAAUCACUUCCUAGAUGGAUAACUCUCGGAAACAGGAGCUAAUACAUGCGUCAUGGGGUCUUUUGACCCUGCGUUUAUUAGGUAACCCAACCGCGCUUCUUUGCGCGUCGCGGAAUCACAAUAACUUAGCGGACCGGCUCUGCCGGCAAACUGGAUAAACAUCUGCCCUAUCACCUGGUAUGUAARGUAGUGGCUUACAUAGGGGGUAACGGGUACGGAGGUUGUGGGAUCGACCCCGGAGAGAGCGCUUUAGAGUCGGCGCUCACGUCUAAGGGCGGCAGCAGGUACGCAAUCUUCCCAAUCAGCAGUGCUGGAGGUGGGGACGAGCAGUAUCGUGGAGGCUUUAUGCCUCAAACGAAAUGAUGGCGCCUUAAACCGGCGUCAGAAAGCAAGGAGAGGGCAAGUCUGGUGCCAGCAGCCGCGGUAAUUCCAGCUCUUCUAGUAUAUGCAAAAGUUGCUGCAGUUAAAACGCUCCUAUUCGGUGAUUGGGGGCUGCCGCUGGGCCCAGUCUAUGACUGUGAGCCCUGUGGCGCCCCUUCUGCGGGCCCGACCGGCUUCGGCCGGCCGGGUUUCCGCCGGUUACCAUGAUUAAAUUGUAGUGCUCAGAGCAGGCUUACGCAGCUGAACAACUUAGCAUGGGAUAACAAUUCACGACUCUUCGUGGUUUGUUGGGUAUUAUGACGGAGUAAUGAGUAAUAGGGGCGGUUGGGGGCCUUAGUACGAUGCCGUUAGAGGUGAAAUUCCAAGAUCGGCGUCAGACUAACUGAAGCGAAAGCGUUGGCCAAGGACGCUCUCWUUGAUCAAGAACGACAGCAGGGGGAUAGAAGGCGAUUAGACACCACCGUAUUCCCUGCCGCAAACGAUACCGACUACGGAAUUGGUAGAAAACUGUAUUCUCUCAGCGCCUUUUGGGAAACCAAAGUCUUCAGGUUCUGGGGGGAGUCUGGUCGCAAGGCUGAAACUUAAAGGAAUUGACGGAAGGGCACCACAAAGCGUGGAUGUUGCGGCUUAAUUUGAGUCAACACGGGACAACUUACCAGGGGCAGAGAGUGCAGGGAUGGACGCAUUAGAGGUGCUUCUUGAUUCACUCAGUGGUGGUGCAUGGCCGUUCUUAGUUCGUGGGUUGGCCUGUCUGCUUGAUUGCGAUAACGAACGAGACCCCCGCCUGCUAACUAGAUCGCCGGUCCUCCGCGCGGUCUUCUUAGAGGGACAACACCCGCAAGGGUGAGGAAGCAGGGGGCAAUAACAGGUCUGUGAUGCCCUUAGAGAUCCUGGGCUGCACGCGCCAUACAAUGGCAGUGGCACUGAGCUUGUGCUGCGUCGGAAGACGUGGCUAAUCUGUGAAACAYUGUCGUAGUUGGGAUUGACGCUUGUAAUUUUUCGUCAUGAACGAGGAAUGCUUAGUAUGCGGACGUCAUUACCGUCUGCAGACUACGUCAAUGUCCUUUGUACACACCGCCCGUCACUGUUCCCGAUGGUGUUCUAGGCAAGUUGUUUGGACAUGGRA